rnacentral:rRNA from 1 species
AUUGAACGCUGGCGGCAUGCCUUACACAUGCAAGUCGAACGGCAGCACGGGAGCAAUCCUGGUGGCGAGUGGCGAACGGGUGAGUAAUACAUCGGAACGUGCCCAGUAAUGGGGGACAACUAGUUGAAAGAUUAGCUAAUACCGCAUACGACCUACGGGUGAAAGCAGGGGAUCGCAAGACCUUGCGUUAUUGGAGCGGCCGAUGUCAGAUUAGCUUGUUGGUGAGGUAAAAGCUCACCAAGGCGACGAUCUGUAGCUGGUCUGAGAGGACGACCAGCCACACUGGAACUGAGACACGGUCCAGACUCCUACGGGAGGCAGCAGUGGGGAAUUUUGGACAAUGGGCGAAAGCCUGAUCCAGCCAUGCCGCGUGUGGGAAGAAGGCCUCGGUUGUAAC